UGGCGGACGGGUGAGUAAUGUCUGGGAAACUGCCUGAUGGAGGGGGGUAACUACUGGAAACGGUGGCUAAUACCGCAUAACGUCGCAAGACCAAAGAGGGGGACCUUCGGGCCUCUUGCCAUCGGAUGUGCCCAGAUGGGAUUAGCUAGUAGGUGGGGUAACGGCUCACCUAGGCGACGAUCCCUAGCUGGUCUGAGAGGAUGACCAGCCACACUGGAACUGAGACACGGUCCAG
rnacentral:rRNA from 1 species